UGCAUCUAAUAGUAUGGUGGCUUUUUGCAGGGCUUCAUUCAGAAGCCUAGAUGGCCUCAAUAGAUAAGGGUGAUAUCAGUGAUCAAAUUGGUGCUCUUAAUGAACAUCCCCAGAUGAAGGCAGAGGAGGAAAGACAGUCUUAGAGGAGCUCCACUGCAGCUUUCUAACAGAGUCCCAUAUUCCACUAAAGCUUCAGCAGCACCCUCUGAUCUUCAGUUUUCUGGUCAGAGCCUCAUCCUGGGGAACUGUCUCUGAGGGAUUGUCACAGAGUGACUGGUCCCUUUUUAAGAGGGGGCAGGUCCAGUGCACGUGUGACUCAUCAGCCACCUCUAACUGGAUUUUCAGAGAGCACCUGAGUCAGAGUCUGUACACUGGGGUCCUGGCUGCUCUGGAUGAAAUACUGAUGAGGUUUACGGAGGCCCAGCCCACUCCAAAAGGGCUGCAGAGCAUUUUCCAGGUUCAGGAUUACACAAUGAGCGCCAUCAACUACUCUUUGCCACUGCUGCCUCCUUAUUAACAUCAGGGCUGAUGAUAUGUAGGCCUGGACUUUGGAUGGUUCCAUCUUUCCUGUCUCUUGUAUUAUCCAUUCACUCUCUCCACCAGAGAGAUCCUUUGUGAGGAAACAAUGUAUAUUGCACACUGUUAAUUGCACAGCCGUAGAGGUUGGCCUUGUCUACAUGGAGCGUUGCACCAGCUUAAGUAAAGUGUGCAUUUAAACCAGUUUAGUUAAACCAGUCUGUAUGCUCUUAAUUUUGUUUGAGUGGCUUUUUUCACUUUACUUUGUCUGUUAGCUCAGGUUUAAGCUGAACUGAAUUGUUUUCCCAGGUCUUUCAUGCUGUAUGGUGUGAACUGGAGAAGCACUGAGCUUUCUCGAAAUAGUUUCCACAGUAGAAAAUGGUGAUUAUUAAACUUAUCCUCCUUUUGUGAAAUGCUUUCACAUGUAGGGAUCUAAAUACUAUCUAGGUGUUAAGUGUUAUGGUCUUUAAUGGCCCUUUGGUGCACAUUUCAGAGCCCUUAUGAAGCAGGAUGGCAAAGGCAUAUUGUUGUACUUCAACCAUCUUCCUUCCUGAGUAGUCAUUAGAUCUCCAUUAAAUCUCCCCAGUCCUUCUUAAAAAUAAGAAUAUUCAAACUUGGUUGACUAAAGACGGAUCCUUCUUUCCUGGAUCCUCCUUAUGUUGCUUCUUGGACUAUGUAACUGAGAAGCAGUGGAUGACUGAGGGUAUAGAGCAGCUGCUCAGCUGUAUGUCACUGGGCCAAAUUCUGUCCUUGGUUACACUCCUACAAUUCCUCUGAAACCACCACAUUACAGAGUAGAGUUAGCUUGUGUACUAAUACUUUGUUCUCCUAAUGAAUGGUUCUAGCUACUUAGGGAGGCACUGGGGGUCCUGGGGAUGUUGAUAUUUAAUAUCUGUAUAGAGGGAAUAUAGUUCUUUUCUGUGACUUCACAUCUCUGGUGGCUGGGCAGACACUCGGUGGUAGCUGCCAGUGGUACCAUCGUGGGACUGCUGGGGAGGGAAGUCACCUCUUGUUUCUUCAGGCACCAUCCACAUUCAUCUCAGCAGUGCUCCCUGUGAUGUGCACAUCGAGAUGCCUUAAAAUCCAACUCUAGGACAGUCUGGACAAAAGGAGGUGUGGGAAGAAUCCCACUGAAGAGAAUAUCCAAAUUGCCAAGGAAAAAGAUGGACACUUGAUCUCCAAUGCCCCAAGCUGCAACGUGAGUAAGGGCAACUAAUGAUUUUUAGACAAACUCUCUCCGGGAAAUGUUAACAAGUGAAUACUCACCUCUGGGAGACUGAGUCAUGGACAAUGUGCCUGUGAUUUUAAUUCAUGGAGAUAACUGAGACACUGGUCUGUAUUUAAGAACUAUUGCCCCUAGUGGUGCGUGAGCUGACCAAUGUGUGUACCUGACCAGAGGAAAAUGGCUGUAAUCUUGAUAUGGGGAAAGACCAUGUUAGUCAAAGAGCCAUUGGGGUCUUGCCCCUUAAGCCACAGAUUUUAGCAAACUCCCAGUCAAGUUAAUAAAUAUCCUUCAGGAUUGACAUUUUUUUUUAAAUUAGUUCACAUGAAUACUAGAAAAAUAGAGAUUAGGCAGCAACAUUUUCCAGAAAGUGAAUGUGGUCGUCCCCACUCCGCCCCCCGCCCAUAUUCAAGAUUGUCCACAGGCAGCGGUGUUAAUUAAAAUCUUCUUAACUCCUUUUUAAAAUAAAUGAACUGAACCUGUCUCUAGUUCAUCUUUAUAGAUGACCAAAUCAUAAUUGUGUAAUGCUGCUGAAACUUUGGAAACUUGUUCUGUACACUUUUGAGUUUGUUGAUCCUCUUGCUAGUGGAUGUGACUCUGAAGUGUUGUGUUCCAAAUGUCAUAGUUCAUAGUGUAUAGUCAAAAAGCUGAUGACAGAUCUUAUUCAUACAGCAGAGUUCCAAGUACAUUAUAGAGCAAAUAGAAAUGGAAUUUGCUGCCAGGAAGUCCCAAAAAUAUCUAAUGAUUUCAUCAGAGAUUAUAAAUAACUAUAGUGAACAGGCUUGAUCAUCUCACAUAUUGAGAAUUCCCAAUCUCGACAGCACAGCACCUAGAAGCCUGAUCUCAAGGUGAUUUGAGUGCAGAAGUAGGAUGGGAGAUGAACAUUUUAUUCAAAGAUGCAUUGUGAUAUAGCUCCUCAAGCUAAAGAUCUUAUCAAAGUUCCAGUCACAUCAAUAAAUAUCCUCAAAGUGUGGUACAUUUUAAUAUAUAUAUUUUUUCUGCAUUUGAGCUCCACUUUAGGCCACAAGACUUUUCCAGAGGUUGAAUAUAACCUCUAAAUUUAAGAUUAGCAGGUAAAGGUGCUAAAAAUCUCCUUAACCCCCUCUUGAAAAUAAACUAAGUGAACUGGUCUCUCGCUAAGUCUCUCCUUAUAAAUUACUGUAUCAUAGUUGUAUAACACAGCUGCAAAACUCGGAUCUGCUGCAAUGGUCUCAUGUAUUGUAUAACCUGAUGCUAUUGAACUUGUACAUGACUCUGUAGCUUUUAGUGAAGAAUGUCCCAGGCAGUGCAAGAAUAGGUGUCAAAUUCUUUUUAUUUUAAGGAGGAACAUCUCCUUUCUAAUGCUUCUUUUUCCUUUACACUUGCAGUGUUCUAAUGUACUAGGAAAAGAACAUGAUCAGCGGACUCUCCAUAGCUCUUUGGACUCCUUUAUCAACAGAAUAAACAAGAUUCAUUUCUUUUCUCUUUGUAAAGGGCAAGAAGCCGCUAGGUUUUCAUCUCCAGGACAAUGACCAAAUAGUGGAUAAAGUCAGAUGAAUUAUUCAUCAAAAUACAGGACUCAUCACAUGAAGGAAGGUGUUCUACAAAACCCUCCAUCUUGACCUUCAGCCCUGGCUCCCACACAACUGGAUCUCUGGCUGGAUCCUCUGUCCUCAUCCCUAGCUCAGUAAAGCUAGUUCAAUCCUGUUUCUACCACCCUUCAUCCCAUCCUCAAAGACAGUUUGGCCAAUGCUCUGCCGUUCCUCUCCCUUAUCCAGGGCAUUUAAUGAUUAAUAGAAAUGUCCGUGACAGCUUCUGUAAUGCUUUAUUGAUUUGAACAUGUGUGCACUGUACUAAGAGGAGACCAUCCAAAGUAUUUUCAUGGUAAGAUUUGACCCCAGACACCACAGCAAGGAGAGGCCCACAGAAAAGAAAAUUCAGCUAAAUCUUCUCUCAAAGCCUAAUCCAAUGAGGUCCCAUGAGGGGCUGACCUCCACCCCUGUUAGCAUCCCAGUUAUUUUUAGUAUUAAUGCUUCCAUGCCAGAAAGACUUUGGAAGCUUUAGUAAAUGGUGAACGAGGGUAUAAUAAAUCAUUAAAUUAUUCAUAACUAAGGGAACAUGUCUAAAUGCAUACGAGAACAAGAGCAAAUACUCAGCAUCCCUUCCCCAACAUGCACUGAACAAUCCACCAAAUACUCACAUGAAAGAGAAAAACAAUUAUGCACGUAAGUACAGUUCUACUCUGUAAAAAUGUCAUGGUGCCAUCCCAUGUCUCUAGCCUCUGAUUUCCAUAUCUGAUGUGCUCACUUUACCAAUAAAACAUGUAUUUUCUAGCUGC